AAGUCGUGGAUUUUGCACCAGGAUAAAGCGUGAAGCGUUAUUUGGCCGCUUAAGGCACUCCAGUACUCGAACACGCGUCUUACUCACCCGACUUGGCACUCUGCGACUUUUACUUGUUUCCGAAGAUAAAGUCUGCCUUAAAAGGAAUCCGGUUUGAGUCGAUGGAAGAGGUGAAACAAAAAUCGGCGGAACUCCUGAAUGGCC